AAUCAAUACAAUAUGUUAUUCAAAAUACUAAAAAGGCAGAAAAAAAUAAUUCUAAGCGCCAGAAUUGCGACGUGGCUGACAACAGUUUUUGUAAUGGACAAGCAUUUUUAAAUGGAAAAAUAUAUAAAUGACCCAUUUAAGUUGUCUCCAAUGACCUACUGAACACCUCAACUAUCUCCGACCAAAAAAAGGUACAAAAUAACUCCUCACAAGGGAUUAUGUUGCGGAAGAAAUCAUCUUGUGGUUUGUAUUUGAGUCCUGGUCUCUAAGGUUUGCGCCCACUUUUGAUCACUAGGCCAGACCCUUGGAUGCAAAAAUUUGUAACUGUGGGAAUUGAUUUAGUAGGCUAUUCUGAGUUGAUGAUAAAGCUACUCCUUCCACUAAACAACCUCCUACAACUUAUAACCAUCUUCUUGAACCCACCAUGGCAUAUACUCCAUGCGAUGUAAGCUCCCAGUUUCUACAUCUUUUAGGAUUUGAUGAGAAAGUUAUGACUACUAAUUUAUCUUAUCGUCCAAUGUUCUGACCUGAUUCAUCAAUCAAUGGCUAAAACCAAAAAAAAUCAGUAAAACUAGCACGAGUGCAACUUAUUAGCAAUUCCUGAAUAUUCCAACUGAUACCCACAAUAUACGGAAGUUAACAAACAUAAAUAUUUAGUGGUCUAGAUUGCAAAUCGCGAGCGCUUCAGUUCUCCAGCGAGCCUCUGCUAGAAUUCCUCAGCAUCAGUAGUAUCUGAACAACCAAAGACUGAAACCUUACAAGGAGGAAAUGGAUCGCCAUUCUUAUUAGGAAAUCCUUUCAAAAUUCUGGCUGUCUACAUGCAAUGUAAUCCCAUUUCUACUUCCCCAGAUUUCGUAGUGGAAAAGAGCUAUUGCCACAUACUCUGAUACAAGGUAAAAAAAGUUUACAUUUGCAAAGCAAGACAUAAUACUAGGUCGACAUUCCACAUUAUAUAAUCUUCACAUAAUAUACAAGUGCCAUGUAAUGUGGCUGUAGCUAGCAGAGAAGAAGGGAAAAUCUUAAAAUUGUCUCAAAGGGUUUAUAGGCUGAGAGGGUAAUACAUGGAUUUGUUGUAUACUAUCAGACACGUCUGAUAUAUGUGAACCAGUUACACUAUGGAUUGAGUGACUACCUUAUUUAACGCCUCAAACUUUUAGACAAGGUCAAACACGUGAAUGACGGUAAGACUUUGAACUCACAACUUCUGCUUGCUCUGAUACUGUGUUAAAUUGUGUAAAGAUGUGUCUAGAGCCAUGUUAAUGACUCAACACACUAAAUUGAGAGAUAGACCAAAAGCAGCUCAAUAAACUAACUUGCGAGAGGAAGCCGACUUUCCUACGAGCACGAGAAUGGUUGUACCAAAAGUUGUCUUGAUACCAUGUUGAACUCCAUGUACCACCUAAAAGUUUUAAGUCUUUAAAGAAGCACACUUUUAUUUACUUUCUUGUAUCUUCAACAUAGACUUCCUUAUAUAUAUUUCUCAAGGAGCAGCAAAGGGAGAAGCAAGGUACAAUGCCUAAAGAACUGCACUAAAUCACAAGAGUUUGUAACAACAGUAUUUAGGUCCAUUUUUCAUAUUUGAAAUAACUGAUGGAUUUUAUGGUCAAA